CAUCACAAAUGCAAACAUCCCUGGGCUUCUUCAAAACAGGAGACUCCAAUGGGGUUUAAAUGGGAUCAGAGGCAGCCAAGAGAGCAGAUCAAAUCAGGGAUCCAUGAAAAUCUCCUGGAAUCUAAGGUCUAGCAAGGUCUGGAGACAUGGCUUGAUCCACGUGAGAACCAGCCCUAAGGGGAAGUCCAACGAGGGUCUGAGGCUCCAAGUUUCUACUGUGGAAGCCAAACCCCAGCCCAACACAGCAGCUUAGACCCUCAGCUCACAGGGCCACACAGUCUUGGCUGGGCGUUUGGAAGCUCGCUUACUAAACACCGCCCCAGUGGAUCAGCAGUGCCAUCGUUCCCCCUUUCCUGGACUAAGGUUUGCUCAUUACACACAGUGUCGGCAGCUGGUGAGUGUCUUUUGCAAUUCAUCAGAGGCCUCCCAGACCACCUGCUCUCCGCAUCCUGCAAACAGCUGGCUCUGGCACAAGGAUAUAAAGCAAAAUCAGCAAAGGGAAAAGGAACAUGAAGUCCAAGGGAAGCCAGGUACAAGCUCCCAAGGAUCCUUUCCCAGAGACGUCACAAAGAAUGCACCUAAAUCUCCCAGCAACAAGUGUGACAACACACGUAAAACGUUACUAACCCAGGAACCUCACCAGAGUCUCAGGACCCAGAGUUUUUACUGGUGGCUGAUCAUGUAGGCAGCGUCAGCCUGACACAUAUCAACAUUUCAGAUUCCCAGAAGGAAGGCAAGUACAUUGUUUACACAAUGUAGGCACCAUGAACCACUCUUCUUAAAGCUGAGAGCUUUUCUGGUGGCUCAGGUGGUAAAGAAUCUGCCUGCAAUGCAAGAGACUUGGGUUCGAUCCCUGGGUCAGAAAGAUCCCCUGGAGAAGGGAAUGGCUACCCACUCCAGUAUUCUUACCUGGAGAAUUCCAUGGACCGAGGAGCCUGAUGGGCUACAGUCCAUGGGGGUCGCAAAGAAUCAGAGUGACUAACACUUAAAGCUGGGAAUGAUGAGAGCUUCCCCAAACCCAAGUUCCCAGAUGCCAGCCAACUUUGAAGCUGGUGUUUCAAAGAAGAACACUCAUCCUUGUGACCCUGGGACCAGACCUUGUAAGCACAUGUUCCUUUUCAAGUGAAGCCAUUUCUCUGUCAACAGAGGCCACUGGAGUGCCACCACAAGGUCACAACCACAGGAAGGGGCUCCUCAUGCUAGUUUCAUGGUGCCAUUUGCCUUUGGCCUGACUGCAAACACAUCAGGAUACAGGCGCCCCAGUGGUGCCUCACCAGCCCUCGGGGACCACCUCCAGCCUCAUCCCUGCGCCCUCCAGCAGUCGUCUUCCCCACCCAGGGGUGCUGUUUCCUGCGGACCAGCACCAGCUGUGCCUUCUAGCAAGCUUCUCCACUGCCAGCAUGCUGCAUGUUCCUGUGGCAGUCAUGUCCUCUCCGAGAAGGUCUGGAUCUCAGCCUUGUGGGACAGAGGGAAAGCGUCUUCUCCUUCAGUCCUUAGUUCCUUCCUUAUUUGUGCUUUGUUGUCGUUAUUGUUGUUCAGGCAGUUAGUCGUGUCCAACUCUUUGCGACCCCAUGGACUGCACAGCACGCCAGGCUUCCCUUAUCUCCUUCAUUAUCUCCUGGAGUUUGCUCAAACUCACUCACGUCCAUUGAAUUGGUGAUGCCAUCCAACCAUCUCAUCCUCUGUCAGCACCUUUUCCCCACUCCUAGCCGUAGAAGGCAAUGGCACCCCACUCCAGUACCCUUGCCUGGAAAAUCCCAUGGAUGGAGGAGCCUGGUAGGCUGUAGUCCAUGGGGUCGCUAAGAGUUGGACACGACUGAGCGACUUCCCUUUCACUU